GACAUAGGGUGCAAACGUUGUUCGGAUUUACUGGGCGUAAAGCGUGUGUAGGCGGCUUCGCAAGUUGGAUGUGAAAUCCCACGGCUCAACCGUGGACGUGCAUCCAAAACUGCGUCGCUGGAGUCUCGGAGAGGAAGGUGGAAUGCUUGGUGUAGAGGUGAAAUUCGUAGAUAUCAAGCAGAACACCUGCGGCGAAGGCGGCCUUCUGGACGAUGACUGACGCUGAGACACGAAAGCGUGGGGAGCAAACAGG
rnacentral:rRNA from 1 species